rnacentral:lncRNA from 1 species
AGUCACAAAUCAUCGCGUCGCCUUCGCUGGUCCCUUUCUCUUAUCGAGCCUCAGUUUUCUCUUCCAUAAGCCGGGCCAGCAGUGCCCACCCCACAGGUUGGCGCCAGCUCCGUAAGGGCCCUACCACCGCGGCCGGCCAGAUCCUCGGCGGGCCAGUCCUGGCGCUGCGGUCAUUUAGCCUGAUGACCCCUGGCCAGGUUCAGCCUCAAUUGCUCCAAAGAACUCCGGACCCGUACCCCGAGCCCGGCGUCCCAGCGGCGAAGUUGAUGGGCCCCGCAGGAGCCCUUGCGGUGAGAACCGAGUCCUGGAGCCCCUGGAGCCCCCGGAGCCCCCGGAGCUGCAGCCGGGGCAGCCUCCUUUCCGCCGGGAGUCCAGCGCUCUCGAGAGCCCAGAAACUCACCGCGCGCAGGAGUUGGUGCGGGCGUCCCGGGCAGGUUAGACUUCUGUGAGCCGCAGCCCCGAAACUGAGGGCCCUGGAAAUGGGGGAUCUCCUGCCUUGACAGCUCAUCAGUACGUGUGAAAAGCCAACAAGAGUGGAUAUGAUAGGAACUGCAAUCACACAGCACUUUGGAGAAUGUGAAGAUUGGUGCUCACAGCAGAAGUUAACACACUGAUGCUGUGAUCACUGUUCAGUAGGUGGAAUGGUCCUUAGUGAUCCUUGAAGAGUAGCUGCAACUGGAAGACACAGAAUGGAGAGGGUGGAUCAUGCAAAUGAAAAGAUGGGCUCCAACAUUCAGCGGAAGGAAUUUAUGGUUGGUUCCCCCGUUUUUUUGUUGGCGGUGGUGGUUUAUUUUCAUUCCCCAUGCCCGGUCCUUCUGAUGGCACUCACUGAUUUGGCUCUAGGGCACAAGUCUAUGUUGCAUGCAGUCCUGGUGUAACAAUCAAUUGAGGCAUUUCCUGGGCGAGGAGCUGGGACACGGGCCAAGCCAAUCAGACUCUGGUUCCCCCAGGACGCUGAGUCAUAGUGGAGCCAUGCCAAGACGGAAACAGCUGACCUGCUGUGCUGCUGCCAUGGCUCCCUGAGGAGUGUCCCUCAGUUCCUAAGAGGGGACUGUCUGCACGCUGGCUCUUAUGGGUUGAUUUUGCACUUUUUCUUUGAUUCUGAGAGCUACCCACAUCCUCUCCAAUUCUUGCUCCAGUCAACCAGACACAGUUUCUAUUGCUUGCGGUGGAAGACAUGCCCAUGCAGAAGGCGUCAAGGCUCUUGGGAAGAUGGGGAGUGGCAUGUGUUCUCAUGGUGUUCACAGCUGCACAUGGGAAACACCUCAUUGCCUUCGCACAACAAACCCAAGAGGGAGGGGGUUCCUUCCCCAAUUCUGCAAAUGGAAAAACUGAGGCUCAGAGGGGAAAUUGAUCUCUCAGUGUCACAGCCAAUGAAUGACAGAGGGAAAGUUGUGGUCCAGGGCUGAGUCCGGGUUCCACAGUGUGUAGAUGAAUUUCUUCAACCCCUUCAUCAUGUGACAAGAGCCACAAGGUCUCCAGGCCUCCUGGACAUGACAGGUGUUUGCUCACAAACUGAAACUUUCUCUGCUGGGUCACACCCUCCUCGCCCAUCCCUACUCUUGGUGCAGGGCAUGAGCUGGACCCUGGAAGACCAAUGGGUAUUCAACUUUCAGAAAGCCUUGGCGAGGUCUAGUGAUGAAAUAAUUUUGUCAUUUGGAAUGCUGACAAAAAAAAUUUGAAUUUUUCGGCCA